rnacentral:rRNA from 1 species
AUGGAGAAUAUUGUAGUGCUGAUUGAUCGCGCUGGGCCAGCAGGCCUUGCAACAGCAGCAUGCCUUAGCCAAUUCUCAAUUCCCUAUGUCAUUGUCGAGCGUGAAAGUUGCAGCGCGUCGCUUUGGCGCAACCGCGCCUACGAUCGCCUCAAGAUGCAUCUUGCAAAGGAGUUCUGUGAGUUGCCACACAUGUCAUACCCACUAGAUGCACCGACAUACAUACCAAAAACCUUGUCUGUGAAGUACUUGGAUAACUAUGUUGAGCGUUACAAUAUUCGACCCAAGUAUCUCACUAGUGUGGAGACAUCCACAUUUAACAAUGACGAAAACUGUUGGUCCAUCGUGAUUCAUAUAAUGACAAAAGAAUUAAUCCGGUUGGGGAUGACACUUGCUCGCCGUCUCCCAUUGAAUCUAGUGGAUAACCUCCUUGUGAUGGCGGCAAAUUUCAUAUUUGGUGAUCUAUCGAGGUAUGGCAUCAGAAGGCCAAAAGUGGGUCCAAUGAUCCACAAGUCAGAGACUGGCCGAUCCGCUGUUAUUGAUGUUGGCACCGUUGGGUUAAUCAAAAAAGGUAUCAUCAAAGUACAUGGGAGCAUUAGUAAGAGCAUGGGCGAUAUAGUUGAAUUUCAGUGCGGUAAAAAGAUAUCAUUUGAC